rnacentral:rRNA from 1 species
AUGCAUGAUGCCCUCUGCAAGGUGGCGGAAGUGCCGGGGGACCAGCUUGAUAAGGGGGUGAAGAUCUGGGCAGGAAAGGUCAAGGAGUUGUCCUAUCAAAUGGAAGACAUUGUUGAUGCUUACAUGGUGCGUGUGGAGGAUGGUGGUGAGCCUACCAACCCGAAGAACAAAGUGAAGAAGAUACUCAAGAAGGUGAAAAGAUUAUUCAAGAAUGGUAAGGACCUCCAUCGGAUCUCUGAUGCUCUGGAAGAAGUGGUUCUUCAAGCUAAGCAGUUAGCUGAGCUACGCCAAAGGUAUGAGCAAGGGAUGCGAGAUCCUACCACUAGUACUAGUGUUGACCCUCGCAUGAUGGCCCUAUACACAGAUGUGUCAGAACUUGUAGGCAUUGAAGAAACACGAGAUGAGUUGAUCAACAUGUUGACUGAAGGUGAUGAUUGGUUGAUGCAUCCAUUGAAGACAAUCUCUAUUGUUGGAUUUGGUGGGUUGGGUAAGACAACCCUUGGCAAAUCAGCAUAUGACAAGAUCAAAGGGCAAUUCGAUUGUGAUGCUUUUAUUUCGGUUUCUCAGAAUCCCGACAAGAAGAAAGUCUUCAAGAAUAUUCUCUAUGAACCUGACAAGAACAAAUAUGCACACAUUCGUGGUGAAGAAUGGGAAGAAAAGCAUCUGAUCGAUGAAAUCAUCGAAUUCCUUAAUGGCAAGAGGUACCUCAUCAUAAUUGAUGACAUAUGGGAUAAAGAUGUGUGGAAAUUAAUAAAGUGUGCUUUCUCCAAUAAGAGCCCUGGAAGCCGACUAAUCACGACAACCCGCAUCGUUAGUGUCUCUGAAGCAUGCUGCUCUUCUAGGGAUGAUAUCUACAAAAUGGAACCUCUUUCUAAUGAUGUAUCAAGAGUGCUCUUCUGUAAAAGAGUAUUUUACGAGAAAGAGUGUCCUCAAGAGUUGGUGCAAGUAUCUGAAGACAUUUUGAAGAAAUGUGGUGGCUUACCAUUAGCUAUUAUUUCUAUUGCAAGUCUCCUGGCUAAUAAUCGUCAGAUGAAAACAAAGGACCAAUGGUAUACUUUUCUCAAUUCCAUUGGUCGUGGACUCACAGAAGAUCAAAGUUUGGAUGAGAUGAGAAAUAUAUUAUUAUUCAGCUAUUAUGAUCUACCCUCAUAUCUGAAACCUUGUUUAUUAUAUCUUAGCAUCUUCCCAGAAGACCACAAGAUUAUGAGAGAUAUACUGAUAUGGAGAUGGAUAUCCGAAGGUCUUGUUUACAGUGAUAAACAAGAAACUAGCUUAUAUGAGCUUGGUGAUAGCUACUUCAAUGAGCUAGUAAAUAGAAGUAUGAUCCAGCCAACAAGCAUUGAUGAUGAAGGAAAUGUAAAUGGUUGCCGUGUACAUGACAUGGUGCUUGACCUUAUAUGCUCAUUAGCAAGUGAAGAAAACUUUGUCACAAUACUAGAUGGCACCAGAAGUAAAAUGCCUAACUCAGAGAUCAAGGUUCGCAGAUUGUCCAUUCAAAAUAGCAAGAUAGAUGUGGAAACCACUAGGAUGAAGCACAUCGGAUCUCUUAGUGUUUUCACAAGUGAUGUUGUUGGGAAAGUGUUGGAUAUUUCAAGUUUUCAAGUUCUGCGCGUGUUGGAUUUAGAAGGCUGUAAAAAUGUCUCAGAUGUUGGGUAUGUCGGGAAUCUGUUGCAUUUGAGGUACUUGGGGCUAAACGGUACUCGUGUUAAGGACCUUCCCAUGGAAAUAGGGAAGCUGCAGUUUUUGCUUACCUUGGAUUUAUGGGAGACUAGGAUAAGAGUAUUGCCAUCGAGUGUUGUUCAGCUAAGACGUCUGAUGUGCCUGUAUGUUGAUGAUGACACGAAGAUGCCAUCUGGAAUAGGUAAGCUGGCUUCCCUAGAAGUACUAAUGAACCUGGGGUUAUCUGACAUGGACCUUGAUUUUAUGAAAGAAUUGGGCCAUCUAACCAAGCUCAGGGUGCUCUGGCUUAACUGCUGUGGUUUUGAUAAGAGCCUGGGUAAAGCUUUGGAGAAAUCCAUUAGUAAUAUGCACAAACUGGACAGUCUAGAUGUAUUUGACCUUGAUGGACACAUCAAUUACCUGAGAGAAGAUUGGGUGCCUCCUCCACAACUCCGUAGACUGGCUUUCGUGUCAAGUCUAAGUUGGUUCGAGACAUUGCCGUCAUGGAUUAAUCCUUCAUCGCUUCCUCUCCUUUCCUAUCUGCAAAUAACGUUGGUCAAAGUGCGAUCCGAGGACAUCGAGCUUCUUGGCAUCCUGCCUGCUCUUGUUUUUCUUGGGAUAUCGUAUUAUUCUAGGUCCAAAGAAGCACAUGAGAUGGAAGCGCCGGACCUUUCCUCUGAUGUGUUAUUCCCAUGUGCGACAAAGUGUCGCUUCUUUGAUAUUGGUGUCCUGCCGUCUAUGUUUCGACAAGGAGCUGCGCCAAGGCUUAAACACCUUUGCUUCACCUUCCCAGCAAAGUGGAUCUCCCGUGAAAACAUUGAUUUGGACAUGCGGCACCUCCCUUCCCUGGAGCGAGUUGAGGUUCAUCUUAUCAAGAAGGGAGCUAGCCGUCAGGAGGUGGAUGAAGCGGAGGCUGCGCUGUGGGCCGCAGCGGAGGACCACCCCAACCAUCCCGUCCUUGAUAUCCGAUCCUAUCGCUGA